UAUUCUGUGCAAUUACAGCUGCAGUCUUUGGCUGCAGGCAGUGACCCUGGGUGGUUUGCCUAAAGAGAAGGGAGACUCUUUGAGCUCUCCCCAUCUAUCUGGGUGACUUUGGUUAGGGUUUCUUUACCAUGUCAGAGGGGUAGGGUGUAAAGCAGAGUUGAACAGAACAGAGGCCAGAGGAGCAGAGCAAGAAGCUGCAGAGCCCUGGGCCCAGGAGGCUCUAGGCACUGGAGGGGAGGUGAUCCAGGUGAGUCCCGGUGAGCAAGGGGUUCUGCCACCUUCUAACAGACAGUCCAGUGCUUCAGGGCCCCUGCUGGUAAGAGGUCACUGUGGAGGAGAGGUGCCAUCCAGCCUGCCUUUGGCAAAGGAGGAGCAUUGAGGUUGAGUCGGGGAGGUAGGGAGGAGGUGCUGGGGUCUCCCCUACUUUCAGAAACACCCAUAACUUUUUUUCUCACUCCCCCAGGUACGGCACACGGUGACGGCAGCAGCCUCU